AGAGUUUGAUCCUGGCUCAGGAUGAACGCUGGCGGCGUGCCUAAUACAUGCAAGUCGAGCGAACGGACGAGAAGCUUGCUUCUCUGAUGUUAGCGGCGGACGGGUGAGUAACACGUGGAUAACCUACCUAUAAGACUGGGAUAACUUCGGGAAACCGGAGCUAAUACCGGAUAAUAUUUUGAACCGCAUGGUUCAAAAGUGAAAGACGGUCUUGCUGUCACUUAUAGAUGGAUCCGCGCUGCAUUAGCUAGUUGGUAAGGUAACGGCUUACCAAGGCAACGAUGCAUAGCCGACCUGAGAGGGUGAUCGGCCACACUGGAACUGAGACACGGUCCAGACUCCUACGGGAGGCAGCAGUAGGGAAUCUUCCGCAAUGGGCGAAAGCCUGACGGAGCAACGCCGCGUGAGUGAUGAAGGUCUUCGGAUCGUAAAACUCUGUUAUUAGGGAAGAACAUAUGUGUAAGUAACUGUGCACAUCUUGACGGUACCUAAUCAGAAAGCCACGGCUAACUACGUGCCAGCAGCCGCGGUAAUACGUAGGUGGCAAGCGUUAUCCGGAAUUAUUGGGCGUAAAGCGCGCGUAGGCGGUUUUUUAAGUCUGAUGUGAAAGCCCACGGCUCAACCGUGGAGGGUCAUUGGAAACUGGAAAACUUGAGUGCAGAAGAGGAAAGUGGAAUUCCAUGUGUAGCGGUGAAAUGCGCAGAGAUAUGGAGGAACACCAGUGGCGAAGGCGACUUUCUGGUCUGUAACUGACGCUGAUGUGCGAAAGCGUGGGGAUCAAACAGGAUUAGAUACCCUGGUAGUCCACGCCGUAAACGAUGAGUGCUAAGUGUUAGGGGGUUUCCGCCCCUUAGUGCUGCAGCUAACGCAUUAAGCACUCCGCCUGGGGAGUACGACCGCAAGGUUGAAACUCAAAGGAAUUGACGGGGACCCGCACAAGCGGUGGAGCAUGUGGUUUAAUUCGAAGCAACGCGAAGAACCUUACCAAAUCUUGACAUCCUUUGACAACUCUAGAGAUAGAGCCUUCCCCUUCGGGGGACAAAGUGACAGGUGGUGCAUGGUUGUCGUCAGCUCGUGUCGUGAGAUGUUGGGUUAAGUCCCGCAACGAGCGCAACCCUUAAGCUUAGUUGCCAUCAUUAAGUUGGGCACUCUAAGUUGACUGCCGGUGACAAACCGGAGGAAGGUGGGGAUGACGUCAAAUCAUCAUGCCCCUUAUGAUUUGGGCUACACACGUGCUACAAUGGACAAUACAAAGGGCAGCGAAACCGCGAGGUCAA
rnacentral:rRNA from 1 species